rnacentral:misc_RNA from 1 species
GCAAACUUGGUCAUUUAGAGGAAGUAAAAGUCGUAACAAGGUUUCCGUAGGUGAACCUGCGGAAGGAUCAUUACAGAUAUACAUUAAUAUAUCUUCCAACCCCCACUAUUGUGAACUUUUGGUGUAAGCUAAGCUAGUGCCCCUAUUAAUUAGGGGUAAUGCCCCUAAUUCAAUAGGGGUUUUUGGCCUUACAAACCAACUUUUUUCAUAUACACUAUGACUACAUAUAUGUAUUGUGCAUGAACUAUACAAUAUAAAAUAACUUUCAGCAACGGAUCUCUUGGCUCUCGCAUCGAUGAAGAACGCAGC